rnacentral:misc_RNA from 12 species
AAAGAGAGAGAGAGAGAGAGAGAGAGAGAGAAAAAAAUAGCGAAAAAAAAUUGUUUCACUUUCUCUCUCUCUCUCUCUCUCUCUCUCUCUCUCUCU